GAGCCUCUCAAGAUCCCCUCUGGAUUACCUGCUGAGGAGGACAUGGCUAACACCUGUCUGAACAGCAGAGAGGAGCUGGUGGUGAAAUGUCUCCUGAAACCACUUGAGCAGAAAUAGAAAUUGAGUCAUAGACCUUUGUGGCCUACCUGUCAGUAUCUCAGGUGAUGUAAUAUUUAAAGGACUAAUAGGUUCAGUGAGACAGAAAAACAUUUUUAAUUGACGAGCAAAACAGGCAUAUUAUAUCAUUUUUAAUGUCAUGUACUGCUAUAAAGAAAAGAAAAUGCACUUCCUUCACAUCAAUGAGAGAAAGAGGUGGCAAUCCUUAGUGGAAUACAGAAGUUUGCUUCCUUGGCACUUGUUUGAUGCUCACUGAUCUGAGCAUCAGUCCAUUAAGAGGCAAAAUAUUGAUUUCGUCUUUGCACUACUUAAAUGCAUCCGGUUGUUCCAUCCCACAAAAACUUACUUAGAAAAUAAAUUGGUGCUAAAAAGCUAACCUUCACCAGAAUUAUGCUCCACAGAAAAGUUUCACUACUGUACAUUAAAACUAAAAAAAAUGUGAAAUUAAGUAUUAACACAAUAUUAGGUGGUAUUCAGACAUCUUAAAAUGGCCAAACAAGACAAAGGUGAGACAGAAGAAAUUAAAUAGACACUGCAAAAAAAAAAAAA